ACAGUGUAGCCUGGAAACCUCCUCAAGAGUUUGGUAAUGAGGAGGUUGCAGAGGCAGAGGGUAGCAGGUGAACGGGAAAUGGAGUUGAGAAAGCAGAGACGGUUGGGAUGGAUACCUUCUGGGACUGUACGCUAAAGGGAGGAUGGACAGAUGGACAGAGGGCAGAGAGUCUCUUCUGCUUCUGUGUUUUGAUUGUGUGUUGGUUUAAAAAGGAGAUCUUCUGUCAUGGACUGAGAGGAGGAAGUGAGUUCAGGACAUGAACUGAAGGGCGUCUUAACGCGGGUGAAGGGGCGUGGUCCUAAAUGGUAGGAAGAGACAGGGCAGCAGUAAAUGGUGACUGCAGGUGCGCAUGCAACAUCGUGCAGGGCAGAAGAAAGAGCGUCAAGAUGGGCGACAUCCAGCCUAGUGCUGGACUUACAGAAGGCCUUCAGCGGUGUGUUAGGUAACUGGCUAAAUGAACCACACACAGUCACCAUCUACCUCUCCAGACUCCUGACUGGAAAGAGCUCACUGCAAGGGCACCAUCCUGACCUCUGCCUUCACAACCCAGGAGUCACCAGGCCAAAGGAUGGCCACACAGGACCAUGGAAUCUAUUCGCUGAUACAACCUCGUUAGCUAGUCCUAGGCUUGGCCAGGGCCGCUGUGAAUGAAGUUCAGGGGGCGUUUCCAAGCCUAUCAUUUAUACAUUGACCCCUGGAGCUGCUCUUGUGCAUUACUCUCUUCGACCACCAGAGGUCAGGCUGCAGUCAGAACAGGCAGGGCCCAGAAAAGCCCAGCUCUGACUGAGGUCCUCCCUGCCCCGCAGGGCAGUUCAUCUAGACCCACCCAGGCUUGCCUAACACCCAAUAGUGACAGCAGGAUUCCUUUCCUGUUUGUCACCGACGUGAGCAGAAACAAAAGAAGCUACUUGCAAUCUGAUUACAGCUCCAGAAAACCGUUCCCCUUUCCCACAUAUCAUGCUUGGGAAUCGCUCAUCUGCCAACCAAGGAAGUGAGGGAGAUGCUCUAAGAGCCAAUUCCUUGCUUUGCUCACCGUUUGGAAACACAGGGUGGGACCAGGAAUCUGUACGCCAUGCCAUCGCUGCCUCUGGUUUUGUUCACCAGUCCUGAACAGUUAGUGCUGUGAGCGACAUCUACCUAGGGCUGUCUCUAAGCUGAGCCUUUGACUGGGGUCCUGCCCAAGACGGAAUUAUGGUUUCCCUCAGGCCUGUAAACCUCAGAAUGUGGGGUUCCGGGAACAUUUGAAGACAUACAAUUGCAUUUGGUCACAUAAACACCUAGCCGGGAUGAAAGAGAAUUCUCACUGUCCGGUGCAGAACGAAGACCACCUGGAGCCGUCCGCCCUCCCCACCCACCCUCAGUGCUCAGCGUCUUCUGAUCACUUCCGAGAGCUGCUUUCCUAUUUCAUCCGAUCUGAUGUGCUUCUGUCUUCCCCAGAGCAAAACCAUCUUGUACUGCGCUUCAGCUCUCUGCUCAAGAUAAUCCUUGCUUGUUGUCCAUCGGUGAGGAAAACUCAAUGCACAGCACGACCACCCUGGGGCACCAGCAGCUUCCGAGGAUGGAAUUGGAGGAAAGUUAACACCGAGUAGGCAAAAUCCAUCCUAAGAUCAGCCCCACUCAGAAAAACAAAACAAAACAAAACAAAAAAUGUGUAAUUUAGGAUGAAUACAA
rnacentral:lncRNA from 1 species